UACGUAGGGCGCAAGCGUUAUCCGGAAUUAUUGGACGUAAAGAGCUCGUAGGCGGUCUGUUGCGUCUGCUGUGAAAACUCGGGGCUUAACCCCGAGCCUGCAGUGGAUACGGGCAGACUAGAGGUAGGUAGGGGAGAAUGGAAUUCCCGGUGUAGCGGUGAAAUGCGCAGAUAUCGGGAGGAACACCGGUGGCGAAGGCGGUUCUCUGGCCUUACCUGACGCUGAGAGCGAAAGCGUGGGGAGCGAACAGG
rnacentral:rRNA from 1 species